UAACAGCAUGAGGGAUAGCAGCGGCAUCCUUUUAUGGAGCGCAGCGCAAUAAAAGAUACAGCGAAAAGCCCGACCCGCA
rfam:Flavobacterium sp. FPG59 Contig_85, whole genome shotgun sequence.